UGCACUAAGGAAUUGGAUUGUGAUGAUUAGUUUUAUAGAGUGGAAAUGGUGGAAUUGUAAUUACCUUCUGAGUACUUAGAAGGAGGAUUUACCCUCAAAUCGUAGUUUGUUUCCUUUAGACUCCAACUUGGCAAUAAUGAAAUUACAAUUGGGAGUGGAGUCCCUCACAAUAAACAGUUGAGGAAAUUGCAAUUUGGCCACUUCCAAUGUAUUAUCCUAGUUAUUGCAAUUCAAUUCAAUAGUGAAUCCAAACACAGCCUUAGAUUUCCACUAGUGGUGGAAUUUAUCUGGUUUUUACUGUGAACAGAAGCAUUCUCAUUAAUGGCACCAUGGUUUAAAUGAUCAACCAUUACGACUCUGUAUUUUUUGAGUCAUAUCAGUUAUUGUUUGAAUUGUGGACCAAAAGCAUCCUGUCCACUCAUCUAGUAGGCCACAUAUGUAUGCCACACAUGUGGACUAUUUGCAAUUCUCGUACCAUCCAUUGUAUUAUACAUGAGUAGCACAACCGAUUUGUUUUAGUGGCCUGAUUUAUGCGCCAUGUCAUCCACAUGGUGGGGGCCCACCUGAUGCACGGUUUGGAUGCCCCACAAACCAACUGAAAAUAUCAAGUAGCACAAGAAGCCAAAGAAUUUGCUAUUACAAUUCCAAAUAUACAAAUGAAAGAAUCCAGAUAAUAUCACCAAAAGGGCAUUGUUUGGAUUUCUUACCACUCUUAUGACAUCGGUACUAAUGAAUUGAAUUGAAAUAACUAAUCCAGGAUAGAUGAAAGUCUUGAAGUUACACCUACUUUCUCAAGUAUAUUCAUAAUGUGGAAGUCUCCUUCAAAUUGAGUUUCUUUCUUUUCAAGUCCAACUCGAAACUAACAUGGUGUAGCAGGGGAAGUUGCUUUGACUUCAAGUGGUGGAUUGAAGAAGCUAUCUUUAUUAAUUGGUAACUAUGAAGAGGUUGCACUGAUAUUUACUCAAACUCUCUAAGUGCAUCAUGAAAAUACAAUUCUAGUCAAUCUUAGGAUCUCAACAAAAUAGACCUGUAUACAGAAUGCAGUUGGACCAUUCCACGAAUGUAAGUGGGCCAAGCACAGGCUAAGGUUUGACCCAUGGAUGAUCCUAACCACUCCUUUUCCUAUUUAUUGUUGAAUCUUUCAUUGGAUGAUCCAAGCCACAACUUUUCCUAUUAACUGCAGAUAAUCUUUCAUUGGCUGAUCUGAGCUACACCUUUUCCUAUAUACUUCUAACCAAAUUUCAUCGAGCGAUCCAAUCUGUCAAUUGGUUUAACUUUCCCUAUUUAUAUUAGACUAUGUUCUAUGUUCUCUAACCAUAGCAAAAUUACAUACUGCAGAGAAGCAGUACAGGAAAUGUUCACUUUUGAUAUGGUUAAAGAUAUGGAAACAGGAGAAAUUUGGAGAAUGAAAAUUUUGGUUUUCUAAAAGAUGGGAGUGAAAAAAUUUAUGCUGAUUGGAUUGUCCAUCGCCAAAUAUAUGUAGGUAGAAGAAAAUUUGGAAGCCAGGCAGGGGAAAACAACAUUCCACCACUACUUUUCAAGAUUUUGCACGCCAAUUUUUCUAGAGGAGGCUCAGUGACGUGUCUAUUGGGAGCUCGUCGUUGAAUUUUCUUGAGAAUAUGACAUCAUUAACCAACUUGUAAGACCAUAUGAUCUCAUCAUAUGCAGUAAUACUAAUCUGUUAGAUCUUUUGUUUUUUCUUUUUUCAUCCAUGCCUUGGAAACUUAAAACAAGAUACUCAUAUAUAUCUGAUUUGUGCUUUUCUCUACAGAGUCCUAAGAAACAAUAUGCUUUCUGGUACUAUUCCAUCCACCAUUGGAAAACACCUAUUAUUGAUG